AAAUAUUGAGCAAAAGGCUAAAAUUGGAAUUUUAUUUAUUAGACUUUGGUGGUCGACCCGCUAAAAUCGGAGCGGUCUGAAGAAAUGACAAUCAGUAGCACCCUAUACAUGUACAACUGUAUAUUGGCUGGGGAGACAUUGUGGAUUGACAGCAUUUACUUGGGAUUCGUGGAUAGGAUCUCGUACAACAUUGUUGACAUUUUAGCAAUCAGAUAUAACCUAUCAUCGAAUAUCACGGAUCCUUUCUUUCAAUUUUAUUGUACAUUUUUGUAAAUAAAUUAUUAUUAUGUGAAA